CUGCUGCCUCCCGUAGGAGUCUGGGCCGUAUCUCAGUCCCAAUGUGGCCGGCCAACCUCUCAGUCCGGCUACUGAUCGUCGCCUUGGUAGGCCGUUACCCUACCAACUAGCUAAUCAGACGCGAGGCCAUCUCUCAGCGAUAAAUCUUUGGCAUCUGUACCAUGCGAUACCUAUGCAUUAUGCGGUAUUAGCAGUCGUUUCCAACUGUUGUCCCCCUNUGAAAGGCAGGUUCCUCACGCGUUA
rnacentral:rRNA from 1 species